rnacentral:rRNA from 1 species
UACAGAGGAUGCAAGCGUUAUCCGGAAUGAUUGGGCGUAAAGCGUCCGCAGGUGGUUUUGUAAGUCUGCUGUUAAAGCGUUAGGCUCAACCUAAUAAGGGCAGUGGAAACUAUGAGACUAGAGUAUGUUAGGGGUAGAGGGAAUUCCCAGUGUAGCGGUGAAAUGCGUAGAGAUUGGGAAGAACACCGGUGGGCGAAAGCGCUCUGCUAGGACAAUACUGACACUGAGGGACGAAAGCUAGGGGAGCGAAUGGG